UACGGAGGGUGCAAACGUUGCUCGGAAUUAUUGGGCGUAAAGCGCACGUAGGCGGAUUGUUAAGUCAGGGGUGAAAUCCUGGAGCUCAACUCCAGAACUGCCUUUGAUACUGGCGAUCUCGAGUCCGGGAGAGGUGAGUGGAACUGCGAGUGUAGAGGUGAAAUUCGUAGAUAUUCGCAAGAACACCAGUGGCGAAGGCGGCUCACUGGCCCGGUACUGACGCUGAGGUGCGAAAGCGUGGGGAGCAAACAGG
rnacentral:rRNA from 1 species